GAUGAACGCUGGCGGCGUGCCUAAUACAUGCAAGUCGAGCGAACGGACGCGACGCUUGCUUUUCUGAUGUUAGCGGAGGACGGGAGUAACACACGUGUAUCCUCUACCUAUAAGACUGGUAUAACUUCGGGACACCGGCUAUAACCCCAGAUAAUAUUUUGAACCGCAUGGUUCAAAGGAGAAAGACGGUCUUGCUGUCACUUAUAGAUGGAUACGCGCUGCAUUAGCUAGUUGGUAAGGUAACGGCUUACCAAGGCAACGAUGCAUAGCCGAGCUGAGAGGGGGAUCGGCGGCACUGGAACUGAGCCGCCGUCCAGACUCCUACGGGAGGCAGCAGUAGGGAAUCGGCCGCAAUGGGCGAAAGCCUGACGGAGCAACGCCGCGUGAGUGAUGGAGGUCUUCGGAUCGGAAAACUCUGUUAUUAGUGAAGAACAUAUGUGUAAGUAACUGUGCACAUCUUGACGGUACCUAAUCAGAAAGCCACGGCUAACUACGUG
rnacentral:rRNA from 1 species